GAACCCGAACGGAUCUGAAUCACUAAAACCGAACCCGAUCCAACGGAUUUCGGAUCGGGUUCGGGUUUUAUCCAAACCCGAAAAUUUGCAAAUUUUUUUAUCUGAAAAUUGAACUACAAAACACCUGAAUUUGAAAUAUGCUCAAAUAAUCAAGCAAACCACAAUAUCAAGCAACACGAAUUUAAACAUACACUCCGUGAAAUACUCCAAAACAACCACAAUAUCAAAGUACAUUAUAGAUCUUAUAUAAAGCGGAGGCGGCGCUCGGACUCGGAGAAGUUGUAGGCGGAGCUCGGACUCGGAGAAGUUGUAGGCGGAGCGAACCGCAGGCGGGGCGGCGAGUUAAAAGGUGAAGCGGCGACUUGAGUUGAAGGGCUGAAGAGUGAAGGCGGCGACUUGGUCUGUGAAGAGUGAAAUUAGGAGUUCGUGUAAUUGUGUCUACGACUCUACAGAUCUACUGUCUAUGUUAUGUGAAUAAUUGGACUAAUA
rnacentral:lncRNA from 1 species